rnacentral:sRNA from 1 species
GGGAGCGGAAAUCAUCCCGCCCGACGAGGCUGUAUCGGCGCGAGCGCCCAUCCAUCCGGCGCCAAUAUGGCUUGACCCGCCCGGCUGUCCCCCCGGGCGGGUC